AUUAAACGCUGGCGGCAUGCCUUACACAUGCAAGUCGAACGGUAGCGCGGGGCAACCUGGCGACGAGUGGCGAACGGGUGAGUAAAGCAUCGGAACGUGCCCUGGAGUGGGGGAUAACGUAGCGAAAGUUACGCUAAUACCGCAUAUUCUGUGAGCAGGAAAGCAGGGGAUCGCAAGACCUUGCGCUCUGGGAGCGGCCGAUGUCGGAUUAGCUAGUUGGUGGGGUAAAGGCCUACCAAGGCGACGAUCCGUAGCGGGUCUGAGAGGAUGAUCCGCCACACUGGGACUGAGACACGGCCCAGACUCCUACGGGAGGCAGCAGUGGGGAAUUUUGGACAAUGGGCGAAAGCCUGAUCCAGCCAUGCCGCGUGAGUGAAGAAGGCCU
rnacentral:rRNA from 1 species